rfam:Solanum lycopersicum cultivar Heinz 1706 chromosome 4, whole genome shotgun sequence.
GAUCUGUGAUGAUGAAUUUUAAGGCUUGUUUCUCAAAACAUUCGCAGUGGCCGUCUAAGAUCUUUCGCCUUCGCCUGGCUUGAGAGAUAAUGCUGUUUUUAUCCUUCCUUGGAUGUCUGAGAUC